UACGUAGGGUGCGAGCGUUGCCCGGAUUUAUUGGGCGUAAAGGGCGCGUAGGCGGUCACGACACGUCCGUUGUGAAAUCGCUCGGCUCAACUGGGCGGGGUCAGCGGAUACGGCGUGGCUGGAGGCAAGCUAGGGGCAAUGGAAUUCCCGGUGUAGUGGUGGAAUGCGUAGUAUAUCGGGAGGAACACCAGUGGCGAAGGCGGUUGCCUGGAGCUUUGCUGACGCUGAUGCGCGAAAGCGUGGGGAGCGAGUCCGG
rnacentral:rRNA from 1 species